GCUAGGGGUGUCCCCGCGGAACGGGGGCUGAGAGAUCACCCUUGGAACCUGAUCCGGGUAAUACCGGCGCAGGGAAGCUGA
rnacentral:ncRNA from 1 species